rnacentral:rRNA from 1 species
CGUACACGGUGGAUGCCCUGGCAGUCAGAGGCGAUGAAGGACGUGCUAAUCUGCGAUAAGCGCCGGUAAGGUGAUAUGAACCGUUAUAACCGGCGAUUUCCGAAUGGGGAAACCCAGUGUGACUCGUCACACUAUCAUUAACUGAAUCCAUAGGUUAAUGAGGCGAACCGGGGGAACUGAAACAUCUAAGUACCCCGAGGAAAAGAAAUCAACCGAGAUUCCCCCAGUAGCGGCGAGCGAACGGGGAGGAGCCCAGAGCCUGAAUCAGCAUGUGUGUUAGUGGAAGCGUCUGGAAAGGCGCGCGAUACAGGGUGACAGCCCCGUACACAAAAGCGCAUGUGCUGUGAGCUCGAUGAGUAGGGCGGGACACGUGGUAUCCUGUCUGAAUAUGGGGGGACCAUCCUCCAAGGCUAAAUACUCCUGACUGACCGAUAGUGAACCAGUACCGUGAGGGAAAGGCGAAAAGAACCCCGGCGAGGGGAGUGAAAAAGAACCUGAAACCGUGUACGUACAAGCAGUGGGAGCACCCUUCGGGGUGUGACUGCGUACCUUUUGUAUAAUGGGUCAGCGACUUAUAUUCUGUAGCAAGGUUAACCGUAUAGGGGAGCCGUAGGGAAACCGAGUCUUAACCGGGCGUUAAGUUGCAGGGUAUAGACCCGAAACCCGGUGAUCUAGCCAUGGGCAGGUUGAAGGUUGGGUAACACUAACUGGAGGACCGAACCGACUAAUGUUGAAAAAUUAGCGGAUGACCUGUGGCUGGGGGUGAAAGGCCAAUCAAACCGGGAGAUAGCUGGUUCUCCCCGAAAGCUAUUUAGGUAGCGCCUCGUGAAUUCAUCUCCGGGGGUAGAGCACUGUUUCGGCUAGGGGGCCAUCCCGGCUUACCAACCCGAUGCAAACUGCGAAUACCGGAGAAUGUUAUCACGGGAGACACACGGCGGGUGCUAACGUCCGUCGUGAAGAGGGAAACAACCCAGACCGCCAGCUAAGGUCCCAAAGUCAUAGUUAAGUGGGAAACGAUGUGGGAAGGCCCAGACAGCCAGGAUGUUGGCUUAGAAGCAGCCAUCAUUUAAAGAAAGCGUAAUAGCUCACUGGUCGAGUCGGCCUGCGCGGAAGAUGUAACGGGGCUAAACUAUGCACCGAAGCUGCGGCAGCGACACUAUGUGU